ACUCUCAUGAUGACAUAGAAGAGAUGCGUCUGAAUCUUUCUGCCAGUGUGUUAAAGUUAUUCUGAUAUUGACUGUAGUUCUGAGCUUUGUCUCUAUCCCACCAAACCACUAACUUCUGGAAAUUACUUGUAGACCAAGAUGGGAGGACUCCGUGUGUGGCUCCGUCUGUGUCUCCUCUUGGUCUUCACAGCUCUCUUCAUGUGACAAAGAAACUUCCUAAAAUACUAAAAGCUAAAGGAGAUUGUUAUCUAAGCUUGAGAUGGAAGGUUGCCAGCGGAAACUUGGAGGAUCACAGCCAGUCGCCUGGGAUUGACCACAGGGAGUGGCAGAGGCAGAAAGCAAAAGACCAGUUGCAAUUAUCCAGAAUCCUGAAUUGAGCCUGUGUUCCCAGUUCCUAGAAACCCUCAAGGUUAUUGGUUUCCUCCUCGCUUAAUAGACCAGUGGAAGAAAUCUACCUCCAGUUCUAUCUUCACAUGAGCAACUGUUUACAGUUUACAAUAUUACUCUGAAAAUCAGUUCUUUUCAAGUUUUAUCUAACACCCACCAGAAGAAACAGAAGAUUAUGAAAAUGGAAUUUGUCAAAGUUCCUCUCCCAACAAUAUGAUAUUUAAUUUUGCUAACAUUUUUUUUUGAACACUUACUAUAUUGCAGACAAUGGUCUAAGUAAAGCAUUUUAUGUGCAUCCUAUCAUGUCAUCAUCACACAGCCCUGUGAGGUAGAUACUAUUAUUAUUAACCACAUUUCACAUUCAAAAAAACUGAGGCUUAGAGAGACUAAGUAAAUUGUCCAAGGUCACACAGCCAUGAAGUGGCAGAGCUGUGGUUAAAACCUAUGUCUGUCUGAUGUUUAAGAUUUUGCUGUUAGCAUUACUUUGAAAUGACAAUAUGAGGGCAUUUUAUGUAUUUUUUUUGCCCCAAUAUGAUCUGCAGAAACUAUGUAUUUUAAGUACUACAUUUCUUUUAUUUACCAAAUUAUUGUCAGAUAAGAAACCGAAAUAAAAGUUUACAGGGUCUAGGA
rnacentral:lncRNA from 1 species